AAAGGGGGUGUUCCACAUUAUUAAGCAGAGCACAUCGAAUCAAGAGCAGCUGCUAAAAUACCAUUACAUAGCCAAUAUUAUAUUACUUAUUCAUUAUAAGAGUGUGCAAGUGAAGUCAGCACUGUGUUUCAUACAGUGCUACAAUAUAACACACCUGCCUACUGAAUGUCCAGUUUCUAGAGUCUUAUUAUUUAUCUGCUAUACCAGAUUAAAGUGCCAGCGAACGUUAACAGCCAAAACCAAGUGGAGGCAGAUUCAGACAACACGCUCUGCCUAAAGGAUUUUCUGAAGGUGAAGGCAACAUAUUUUCUGCAGCCAAAGAUCUUGGACAGCUCUCCUAAGCUCAAACACAGAGAGCUUUAAAAUGAACUCCCGCUGGAUUCCUCGCACCUGCAUCCUUCAGCUCGUGAUCUGGAAAUACAAGAUCACAGCUCUCGGUCUUUGAGGAUGCAUGAAUUAAAAAAGACAAACCAGGGCACAUACUGUGAAAGAUUUUUUUUAAAAUUCUCCAGUAAUUUGUAUUUGUCAGUGGUGGACAAAGUACUGAAAAAAUCACCUGAAAAAAGAUCACCUCAACCCAAUUUUGAAAAAAGUGCUGAGAUUUUGAAAAUUUGGAGGAAGCCCAUACACACAUUGUGGAGAAUGUGCACAGGAACAGAUACAAUUCAGCAGAUAUCCUUUUUUUUAAACUGAUUUUCUUUUAAACUUACUGCACACCAAUAUAUACUGUAAAAUCUCAUGUGAUCUGACUCAUGUCUUCGACUGUAACAAACAUGAUCUGUUCUUGUUACAGAUUUUACAUUUUUGAGGUUUUAUUGAUGUUCAGUCAUUUACUUUCUAUUUAGAAAUGUCAAUAUUGUUGAGUACCAUUAGGUUUACUGGAAGGUUGUCUAUAGCAGAGAAAUUAUCUGAAAGAGAAAGAUGAGCUGUGUGUGUGUGUGUUCCAAAGGUAUGAAAGUGUUUCAAGAUUUCAUUCAAGUGUAUUGUAAAGGAAGUUCCCUUGGUAAUGUGCAACAAUUCUGUAAGCAAAUACCAUCACCAUUCCAUCAUAACUCUCUUACAAGUCAUACCUAACAAUUUGUCUCUGUUGAGCUAUAUAUGCUACCCCCAAGCUCCCAGUGUUCAGAUUUCCUAACCUGAUCGUCUCUUCUUACGGAGCAAUUUCGUCAAUCCCGAUGUUAUGCCGCUGGCUGGAGUCUUGAUCUGCAUGGUCAGCCAGUGUCCUUUAGAUUGAUGUGUAGGAAGCCACCCGUAGACUUUCAUGCCUUCUUUGAACCAAUGUUGUGUCAGUCAGCUGUAUGGUCUGGUCUUUAUCAGCAAUCAGUGUCACAGAAAUGAG